CGUGCAGUAAUAGACUAACAACCCUGGAUUCUGAUCCAGCGUGUCCUGAUGAGACAACAUAGACUUAACUCUUUAAACAGAGUACAGGACACUGAAUUUGAACUUAUCCCAGGAGGUGCACUCAUCUAGUGCGGUGGCCCAGAGCGGAAGCCCCAGCUGUGCGAGUGGCUGCAGUCAUUAAAGCGCAACGACGCAGGGGACGCACACCGGAGGCCUGCAGCAGCGCGGACCCGACCCCAGCAACAGCACAUAGCAACGACGCAGGGGACGCACACCGGAGGCCUGCAGCAGCGCGGACCCGACCCCGGCAACAGGAACAAUGAUUCACGACAGGUGUAGUCUUAAGAUAUAAACAGCAUCACUUUCUAAGUUUUAUAUGCACAUUUACCUACUGAAGAAGGGGUCGGAGGACUAUAGUUCCCAGUACCCUGAAACGCGUUUAGGACUUGGCACUAUUCACACCAUCUACUGGUACUCAUCCCAUUACCAGCAUCCAUACUGAAUCCCGGCACCUGAGGAGUUAACCUAGUCUCCAGCCUCCCGCUUCACCUGAGGAGUCGAUCCAAGCUCCAGCCUCCCGCUUUGUGUGUCGGCAUCUCACCUCCAGUUCCCCACGUGGGACGCCGCUCCCGUGUAUGCUGACACUCCUGCCAGAGUGUCGGCGUUGUAACCAUCUAACCAUCCACGGAAGAGCGGCUGCCAGGAACGGCUUUGACCAUGGUGUCGCACCCCACUGCCAUCGGGGUCGCUAAUUCCAGCGUGAGAUUGCCACUUACCAUCUUGCUGCUCCACGGCGGAAUUUUCUACAGCCGCACUCCACAGGUCCACGCCAGUGAGAACCAGGCGGCUACAGGCGGUGAGAAAUAUAAUUUUAAUGUUCCUCCAUUAUCAUAUUUAUUCCAUCUAUUGACUAUCUGGAGUCUGAUCUUGCAGUAUCUAUCAAGUGCAUUUCAACCAUCUGCUCUGUUACGGGACUAACAAACCAGGUGCCGGAUUAUCGGACUGUACAUGCUCAUGAUAUUUUAGUCAUUCAUCCAGUAUUAUUACCCCACUAGGGCCCAGUGGGGUAUGUACUAGUGCCUGUACAUGUGUAGUAUAUUUUAUUUUAUUAUAUUUUAUUGAAUUAUAUUUAAUUACAUUUUUGUACUAGUGAUGCUGUUUUUUAUUCAUUAAUCCACACAUAUCAUUAUGCACCCUAGUUGGUGAGGUGCUUGAGGUAACAGCUAUAUAUUUGACUUCAAUUUUCUCUCUGGCGCCGGUGGGGACCGGUCAUAGCUUUAACUACCUCGCACCUUUCGUUGUGAGUUGCACCAUAUUUGAAAUUUUUAUA